rnacentral:rRNA from 1 species
AAGCUCGUAGUUGAAUUUCGGGGUCAGUAGGUUGGUCGUGCCACCGGUACGUACUGAUCUCACUGAUUCCUCCUUCCUGAUGAGCUGUAAUGCCAUUAAUUUGGUGUUGCAGGGAAUCUGGACUGUUACUUUGAAAAAAUUAGAGUGUUUAAAGCAGGCUAACGCUUGAAUACAUUAGCAUGGAAUAAUGAAAUAGGACGUUCGAUCCUAUUUUGUUGGCUUCUAGGAUUGACGUAAUGAUUAAUAGGGAAGUUGGG